CACGUAGGGCGCAAGCGUUGUCCGGAAUUAUUGGGCGUAAAGAGCUCGUAGGCGGUCUGUUGCGUCCGCUGUGAAAACUCGGGGCUUAACCCCGAGCCUGCAGUGGAUACGGGCAGACUAGAGGUAGGUAGGGGAGAAUGGAAUUCCCGGUGUAGCGGUGAAAUGCGCAGAUAUCAAGAGGAACACCAAUGGCGAAGGCAGCUCGCUGGGACGUGACUGACGCUGAGACGCGAAAGCGUGGGGAGCAAACAGG
rnacentral:rRNA from 1 species